UAAUUUUUUUUCGUUAGUUUUCAUGGUCAAAAUGAGAGAUCAGGUGGCUGAUCUUAAAAUAAAUCAAUAUUGAUUUUUUUAUAGAGCGUUAAAGUUUUGCGAAGCCAGGGGGCGGGGCUACUUUAUUGACAGUCUGGUCUGGAAUGAUUGACAGGUCCUAUGGAGAAGGCAGCAGAGACUGCUCUCCUCGUUUGGAUUAAUUCUGAUAUAAUAACUGUUGGUUUAUUUAUCGGUGCAGCAGCAGAACAUUUUCCACAGACAGUUUUCCUGCCCGUUGGCUUGUUUUAACCAGUUUUCUGCCUCCAGCUGAUUCUACCAGCAGACACUGAAAAGACUCUGAUAGUUCGGUGUCUCAUGUUCACUGUGAGGAUCUUCUGAGUGAAGCGACCAGCAGAAAAAACCUCAUCUGGAUGUGAAGGAGACUGAAUGGACGACAUCCUCAGUGAACCACUUCCUGUUUAGCUUUCACUUACAGAAGAAUGAAAGUAGCAGUUCCUCCUGAAGGUCAGAGAUUGCAGCAUCUGAGGGCCUCUUCAAAAGAAGACGUAGUUGAUGAAGGCGUUCUGGAGCAGGACCAGAAAGACCACGACCAAGCAGCCUUGAGAUCUUAGACAGCAUCUCCCUCAGGUCCCUCUCUAUCUCCCCACACAUCCACCAACCACUGGAACACAUCUCCAAAGUUCUGCCGGGCCAGCUCAGCUUCCCCUCAGAAGAAGUGGCGCCACCUGCCAGAUGAAGGAGCCUUUUGAGAGGCAGCUGGCAUCGUGAUUGGACUGUACUUUGGUCUGUUCCAAUCCAGCUUCAGCUCCAGAGACGGCAGGCGGGACGAGUCAACGGAGGCCUGGUGGACGAAGGCAUGCAGCUGAGUACAAUCCAGAAAGAGACAUACAUUGUAGAAUUGUAGUAAUUGUGGGCUGACUGAUUUACUGAUUAUCAGUAUUUUAUUUUUUACCGGUUUACGAUAAUAAAUAAAUUUAAAAAUGGCGCUA